CAUGAGCAGGGGUAGGGGUGGGAGGUGGGAGGUGGGAGGAGAAGGAGAAGCAGGCUCCCCCCUGAGCAGGGAGCCUGAUGCAGGGGCCGGAUCCCAGGACCUGGAUUGACCUGAGCCGAAGGUAGAUGCUUGACCGACUGAGCACCCAGGGGCCCCAGAAUUUAGUUUUUUAAAGAUGAUGUGACCUCUGGGGCAUCUCUGUCUCUGUUGGGGAGGGAGACACCCUGCUUCAUGGGUUCAGGGGUGUCUUCACUGCUCUGGCAACUGAAUUCUAAAAAUGGAGCAUAGCCCUCACCCUAGGAAUGCUUGGCUGGACCACAGGGUGGGGUCAAAGCCUCUUUGGGGGCACAAACGCCCUGACGGUGCCAGCAGACAUGCAUGAGAUGGAAAAGCUGCUCCACUGGGCCCGAGGACGCCGUCCGGCCAGGGAGGGGCUGCCCUGGGAGCCCUGGCCUCACCCCCCCUCCUCCCCCGACGUGUGAGUCACGGAUGGGAAAAUGAGAAAGGGCAAGUCCCGGCCCAGCAACCCGGAGGCCCGUGGGGCUGCGGGCGGGGAGGCAGGGGAGAAAGGAUGGGCUUGCUCAGGUCGGGGUGAGCUGAGGCCGGGGCUGAGGCUUGGCAAGAGUGAGCCCGUGGCAGCGGUGAGGGAAGGUGGUGCGAGGAGCCGGAGGGGAUCCGCAGGCAGCGCUGCCGGGAGGCCGUGAGGACAGGCCUGCAGGGCUUAGGGUGCGCGGCUCUGCCGGCCGGCCCUUCCCGGAGUCUGGGGACACGCGGGGGCCGUGGGCAGUUGUCCCACAGGCCCAGGGCCGGUCUCUGGCGGCCGCGGGCCCACGGCCUGUUGUGUCCAGAAAGCAACUCCUUAUCCUGCUUCCACCUUCUAGGGGCUUCCGCAGGGCAGCGGAGCGAGCUCAGGCUCCUCGGUGGUGCCCUCGCCGCAGCCGGGCUCUGCUGCUCCUCCCGGCCCGGCCCGCACGCGGGUCCCGACGCAGGCAGUCGCCCCCAUUCCCGGCUGGCAAAGGCUGCCCCCCACUCCCCGGCCUUUGCACCUCCCUCCUCCCGCACAUUUUUGCGUCGUUGGCUCACCACCUCGGAGGAGCCUCCCCUGCUCUGCCUCCAGCCGGGCUGACGAUCUGCUGUCUCCUCCGCGUGGCCAUAGCUCGCCCAUUAGUCACCCUGCCUGGCAGUUGCUGGCGUGCUUGUCUGCCUGUCGGCCGACGGGCAGCACCUGUCGGGCGUAUGUUCCUGCGGCCUCGGGGUCUGCUACCCACAGGCUCCCGGUCAUGCAGAGGGUACGCCGCACCCGCCCUGCGCCAGCCGAUCCCAGAACCGUGCAACCAUUGCAUCGUGCAAUGCUUCAGCCUGAAGUAGGUGCUACAGCUCCCGUGAAGAGACUGAGGCCCAGAGACGUUCAGGCCCAGAGCAGCUGUUGGGUGGUGCAGCCUGGGGGACCCUAGCCUGUGCUCUCAACCCAACACGGGAGGAUUCACUCUCACCGGAGGAGUGAAUGACUGACUGAACCCACAGUUCGCCGGGACAAAGUUGACCAGGAGCUGGGAGAAAGGGUUAGGUCCAGAGGCCCACAGGGAGGGCUCCAACCCAGCCAGGGCGACCAAGGACCCUCCUGGUGUAAGCACGGAAAGCUCCGUGUCCCACGAAACCCCUCAGUCCUGGGCAACCUGGGCUGGUGGGUCACCCUCCGCCCCGGCCUAGGGACAGGAAGCGCUGCCUCUCCCACCCGCUUAGCUCAGCAGCCAGCUCUGCCCACGGCUCUUGGCCCCACUGGAGGGCCCACGGGAGAGGCCAAGGCCAGAGCGGCAGCGCGAUGGCCCCGGGGCACUGCCAGCCCUGCCUCGGGAGGCGUCUGCUGUUUGUGGAGGCGACCGCAGGCUGCCAGGAGGAAGGACAGCCCGGCGUCCGCAGGGGCUCCUCAGUCACCUCCGCUUCUGCUGGACCCUGGCCGCGAUGCAAUUCACCUGAGCCUGGCCCUUUGCUGAGCACCUGUUUCCGCCGCACAGGUACAGAAGCCCGCACAAUCUCCCAAGAAAAAUGUGGGAGGACAGCUCGUUGUGAGGAAGAAAACAAAGGUCACCGUUCACGCUCCCAUCUGGCAGAGAUGAUCUUCGUGGACUCUUUGGUGUGUUUCCCUCUAUGUUUCUUUCUACACGAGUAGAUACGCGACGUGUAAUCAUUAUAUAUGAUGUGAAAGGCGAUUAUUUUUCACACAUGGGGUCGUACUAUGUGUGGUUCAUUAUAUCCCAGCUUUUUUUUUUGUACUUAUAAUAUAUUGUGUUAUGAAGCCAUGACAUUAAAUAAGCAUUUUCAUGCCUGUA